GACGAACGCUGGCGGCGCGCUUAACACAUGCAAGUCGAACGGUGAAGGGACCGGUUUUUGCUGGUUCUGGAUGAGUGGCGAACGGGUGAGUAACACGUGAGUAACCUGCCCCCUUCUUCUGGAUAACCGCAUGAAAGUGUGGCUAAUACGGGAUAUUCUGCGCCUGCUGCAUGGUGGGUGUGGGAAAGAUAUUGUUUCGGUGGGGGAUGGGCUCGCGGCCUAUCAGCUUGUUGGUGGGGUGAUGGCCUACCAAGGCGGUGACGGGUAGCCGGCCUGAGAGGGUGGACGGUCACACUGGGACUGAGACACGGCCCAGACUCCUACGGGAGGCAGCAGUGGGGAAUAUUGCACAAUGGGCGCAAGCCUGAUGCAGCGACGCCGCGUGAGGGAUGGAGGCCUUCGGGUUGUAAACCUCUUUCGCCAGUGAAGCAGGCCAGUCCCUUUUGUGGGUGGGUUGACGGUAGCUGGAUAAGAAGCGCCGGCUAACUACGUG
rnacentral:rRNA from 1 species